UGACCCCAUGCCGAACUCAGAAGUGAAACGCCGUAGCGCCGAUGGUAGUGUGGGGGCUCCCCAUGCGAGAGUAGGGAACUGCCAGGC
rnacentral:rRNA from 1 species